ensembl:lncRNA
CCGGCCUGGGACAUUAGACUUGAUAUCAUUACGUCAUCGCGAGUGACGUCACUACGUUAGGGCGUAAAAGAACCGAUGAAUUGUCCGAAAGAACCGGUUCGCGUCACUUCCCAUCACUAUUUAACUAUUUAAAUCUCAGUUGGAGCCUGCAAUCCCAGGGAAACAGUGAUAAAGUAAUAAAGUUCUUGUCACUCCUCCUCUGCAACCAACAACGCACCUCCCUAUGCUCACUGCCUUCAUCGGUGCAGAGAAGACUGAACCAGAAAACGGUAAUACGUCUCAGCAGAGCACAAGGCAAAGGAAAUUUCAAUCAAAAUCCAAUAAUCAGACAAAUGGAUUCCAGCCAGUCUUUCAAUCAGCCUCCAGAAGCCUGGAACUCAUCUGAGAAAUCAGCGAUGUUGCAUCCUUCAGCACCACCAACAGCAUACCAAGACAAUCCUGCUGGAUAUCCUCCCUCCUUUCCAAGCCAGCCAGUCCCCCAGGGCCCCUACACCCAGGGGCCGUAUUCAGGACAAACUGUGUUUGCUGUACAGCCUGCAGUUUUUGAGAUUGCUUCUCCAUUGGCCAAUCCAUUGCCAGAUUACUUGGGCUACUCCAUCUUCACCAUGCUGUGCUGCUGUUUACCUCUGGGCAUUGCUGCCCUGGUUUUCUCCUGCUCCACUCGAAAUGCCAACUACUCAGGACAGCGAGAAUUAGCAGAAAAGAACUCCAAAACGACACUCAUCCUGAAUCAUGCCGCCCUUGGUAUUGGCCUUGUUCUCCUUGUACUGUUGAUUAUCGUCAAUGUUUUGGUUUUAAUUUGAAAAAGUUGUCAUGGAUGGAUGCAGACUACAAAGAGAUUUGAUUCUUUACAUUUUAAAUGCUAUUUGCUCAGUGUAUCAUUAAAGCCUGCAACAUGUGCUUUAAGGCUGAUUAUUGCAUGUUAAGACUUUUUGCUUAUCUUGUAUGCAGCUGUGCUAAUUUGAGUUUUUUACAUACAGUUUUAUUAUGUAUGUACAUAUAUGGGCAUAAAUCUGUCUGUCUGUGUAUGCAGGCAGCUGUGUAUCUGACAGUUAAUACCUCCAGUACCUGCCAAUUUAUAAAAAAUGAAUUUCGGGUAACACUUUAUAAUAACUUUAAUUAAUCAAUAACAAACAUUAUAUAAUCCUUAACAGAUCAUUAGUUAAUAUAUAUUCAUAUAGCUAGAAACAUGAGAUAAUGUGCUUGUUAAUGUUUACUAAAAUUAUUUAACAUUACCUAAUGAUCAACAGAUAAUUAAUGUAAAUUACAAUGCUUACAAACGUCAUUAAACGUUUAAUUCAUAUGAUCAUGCACAUCUUGAAAAUCUACAAAUUAUUUUACCAUGUUAUACAAUGAUUAAAAGCUUUUGUUAAUGUACAACACUUUUGCUGCUAUUGAGGUGUGAUAUGGGUAGGUUAGGGUUAGGGUUUGGUGGUAUGUGUAGGUUUAACGGUUGGAUGAGGGGUCAAAAGUGUAAAGGGGUCAGUUUGAUUACUAAAAGGGAGCAUGGUACAAUCUGUUUAUAUUACAUUUGUUUUGAGAAAUGAACAGGUAUUUUGAUUUGUUUUCUCCUGCUGAUGUAUGAUUCAAGGAAUACCCUGUUUAAUGAUAUAGUAUACUAUAAGUGUUGAGGCAAUAAAAACAUUUCCCAUCCAAAUUACGUAUAUUAU